rnacentral:lncRNA from 10 species
GGCGCAUGCCUGUAAUCUCAGCUACUCGGGAGGCUGAGGCAGAGGUUGCAGUGAGCCAAGGUUGCGCCACUGCACUCCAGUCUGGGCAACAAGAGCGAAACUCCGUCUCAAAAAAGAAAAAAAAAAAAGAAAAUAGGUUUGGUUGGCUCACGGUUUGCAGGGUAUACAAAAAGCAUGUUGCUGGCAUCUGCUUCUGGUAAGGGCCUCAGGAAACUUACUAUCAUGGCAGAAGGGGGAACAGGUGCACCACAUCACAAGAGUGUGUGCAAGAGAGCAAGGCGGGUAGGUCCCAGUGAACAGCCAUAUCUCACGUGAACUAGCCGAGCAGGAAUUCACUUAUCACCAAGGUGCUGAUGCUAAACAUUCUUGAGGGAUCGGCCCCCAUGAUCCAGUCACCUCCCACCAGGUCCCACACUAAGAAUCACAUUUCAACAUGAGAUUUGGAGGAGACAGAUAUCCA